GGAUUCAGGAGUGAAGCUGCUGUGUUCUGGACUGGAGAGUCCAAACUGUCGACUGGAGACUCUGAGGUGGGAGGGGUAUUUGUAUAUCUGAGUGUGAAGAGGACAGUGUGUGUGGACGGAGGCUGAGCUGUGUCCUGAGGAUCCAGAGGCUGAAGCAGCAGCAGCUUGUGUGUAGUCUCCAAUCUACACAACCCCUAAUCUGCAUGUGUUUGUGAGAUGAAGGCGGAGCACCUGGAGAAAACACGUGGAGAACAUGCAGACUCCACACAGGAAGACCCAUCUGAACCAGAUUCAAACCAGCAACCUUCCUGCCCCGAUUGUGUUUAUUCACAUGAAGAAUGUGUUUAUUGAAAUGACACAACACAAGCAGAAUAUAUAAUCCCUCUAUAAAGAGUCACAUACAGUGUGUUUAAGUUUGUCUUUAUUAUUUUCCACCUUUGUCCCUCAGUCUGUCUCCAUGUGUGUAGAACCACAUUCUGUGUAGAUGUUUGUUUAUGAUCUUAAAGUUCCAAAGAAGGAAGGCUGCCGUGUCUCCAGCUCUCCCACAGCUCUGCUCUUUUUUCUAUCUUGUUGUUAUUGAUUCUUCUUUAUGUUGCAUUGUGCACUCUGACAAAGCGAGCCCUAUCAUCAUAUGUGAUGGAGAACAACUUCUGCUCAUCGGGUUGACGGUGAGAAACACUUAGUCACCAGUGAAGACCUGGACCCAUCACACAGACUCCAUCAGGGAGACGGCCAGGCAGCGGCUCUUCUCCACAUGGACUCCAGGAUCCAGGUGCAGCACAGAGAGCAUCCUGACAGAAACAUCUUUGACAAACAUAUUUAACGUCUUCUUUGAUUAUUUGUUUAUGUCCAUGUCCCAUCUGCUCACAUGGAGGAGGAGGUUUAUGACCUAUACUGCAGCCACACACCAGGGGGCAGUGUCAGUCUGGUUCAGCUCAUUUGUUCAUGGUGUGUUGAUGGACUGAUCUGAUUGGAUGUUCCUUAGUGUUUUUUUUUUUUAUGAAUCUAGUUCCUGUGUUGAGCGCGAGCUGCUGUUUAAAGACGUGUUUGACCUUUGACCUGAGCUGACCCGACAGUUCACUGUGACGAAGAGGAUGAAGAUGUGUAGUAUGGGUUGAACGUUGUCGUCCACUCAGAGGAUCAAUAAAGAUUAUAACUGAC